GGGUUGUGAGGUUAAGCGACUAAGCGUACACGGUGGAUGCCCUGGCAGUCAGAGGCGAUGAAGGACGUGCUAAUCUGCGAUAAGCGUCGGUAAGGUGAUAUGAACCGUUAUAACCGGCGAUUUCCGAAUGGGGAAACCCAGUGUGUUUCGACACACUAUCAUUAACUGAAUCCAUAGGUUAAUGAGGCGAACCGGGGGAACUGAAACAUCUAAGUACCCCGAGGAAAAGAAAUCAACCGAGAUUCCCCCAGUAGCGGCGAGCGAACGGGGAGGAGCCCAGAGCCUGAAUCAGUGUGUGUGUUAGUGGAAGCGUCUGGAAAGGCGCGCGAUACAGGGUGACAGCCCCGUACACAAAAAUGCACAUGCUGUGAGCUCGAUGAGUAGGGCGGGACACGUGGUAUCCUGUCUGAAUAUGGGGGACCAUCCUCCAAGGCUAAAUACUCCUGACUGACCGAUAGUGAACCAGUACCGUGAGGGAAAGGCGAAAAGAACCCCGGCGAGGGGAGUGAAAAAGAACCUGAAACCGUGUACGUACAAGCAGUGGGAGCCUCUUUUAUGGGGUGACUGCGUACCUUUUGUAUAAUGGGUCAGCGACUUAUAUUCUGUAGCAAGGUUAACCGAAUAGGGGAGCCGAAGGGAAACCGAGUCUUAACUGGGCGUUAAGUUGCAGGGUAUAGACCCGAAACCCGGUGAUCUAGCCAUGGGCAGGUUGAAGGUUGGGUAACACUAACUGGAGGACCGAACCGACUAAUGUUGAAAAAUUAGCGGAUGACUUGUGGCUGGGGGUGAAAGGCCAAUCAAACCGGGAGAUAGCUGGUUCUCCCCGAAAGCUAUUUAGGUAGCGCCUCGUGAAUUCAUCUCCGGGGGUAGAGCACUGUUUCGGCAAGGGGGUCAUCCCGACUUACCAACCCGAUGCAAACUGCGAAUACCGGAGAAUGUUAUCACGGGAGACACACGGCGGGUGCUAACGUCCGUCGUGAAGAGGGAAACAACCCAGACCGCCAGCUAAGGUCCCAAAGUCAUGGUUAAGUGGGAAACGAUGUGGGAAGGCCCAGACAGCCAGGAUGUUGGCUUAGAAGCAGCCAUCAUUUAAAGAAAGCGUAAUAGCUCACUGGUCGAGUCGGCCUGCGCGGAAGAUGUAACGGGGCUAAACCAUGCACCGAAGCUGCGGCAGCGACGCUUAUGCGUUGUUGGGUAGGGGAGCGUUCUGUAAGCCUGUGAAGGUGUGCUGUGAGGCAUGCUGGAGGUAUCAGAAGUGCGAAUGCUGACAUAAGUAACGAUAAAGCGGGUGAAAAGCCCGCUCGCCGGAAGACCAAGGGUUCCUGUCCAACGUUAAUCGGGGCAGGGUGAGUCGACCCCUAAGGCGAGGCCGAAAGGCGUAGUCGAUGGGAAACAGGUUAAUAUUCCUGUACUUGGUGUUACUGCGAAGGGGGACGGAGAAGGCUAUGUUGGCCGGGCGACGGUUGUCCCGGUUUAAGCGUGUAGGCUGGUUUUCCAGGCAAAUCCGGAAAAUCAAGGCUGAGGCGUGAUGACGAGGCACUACGGUGCUGAAGCAACAAAUGCCCUGCUUCCAGGAAAAGCCUCUAAGCAUCAGGUAACAUCAAAUCGUACCCCAAACCGACACAGGUGGUCAGGUAGAGAAUACCAAGGCGCUUGAGAGAACUCGGGUGAAGGAACUAGGCAAAAUGGUGCCGUAACUUCGGGAGAAGGCACGCUGAUAUGUAGGUGAAGCGACUUGCUCGUGGAGCUGAAAUCAGUCGAAGAUACCAGCUGGCUGCAACUGUUUAUUAAAAACACAGCACUGUGCAAACACGAAAGUGGACGUAUACGGUGUGACGCCUGCCCGGUGCCGGAAGGUUAAUUGAUGGGGUUAGCGCAAGCGAAGCUCUUGAUCGAAGCCCCGGUAAACGGCGGCCGUAACUAUAACGGUCCUAAGGUAGCGAAAUUCCUUGUCGGGUAAGUUCCGACCUGCACGAAUGGCGUAAUGAUGGCCAGGCUGUCUCCACCCGAGACUCAGUGAAAUUGAACUCGCUGUGAAGAUGCAGUGUACCCGCGGCAAGACGGAAAGACCCCGUGAACCUUUACUAUAGCUUGACACUGAACAUUGAGCCUUGAUGUGUAGGAUAGGUGGGAGGCUUUGAAGUGUGGACGCCAGUCUGCAUGGAGCCGACCUUGAAAUACCACCCUUUAAUGUUUGAUGUUCUAACGUUGACCCGUAAUCCGGGUUGCGGACAGUGUCUGGUGGGUAGUUUGACUGGGGCGGUCUCCUCCUAAAGAGUAACGGAGGAGCACGAAGGUUGGCUAAUCCUGGUCGGACAUCAGGAGGUUAGUGCAAUGGCAUAAGCCAGCUUGACUGCGAGCGUGACGGCGCGAGCAGGUGCGAAAGCAGGUCAUAGUGAUCCGGUGGUUCUGAAUGGAAGGGCCAUCGCUCAACGGAUAAAAGGUACUCCGGGGAUAACAGGCUGAUACCGCCCAAGAGUUCAUAUCGACGGCGGUGUUUGGCACCUCGAUGUCGGCUCAUCACAUCCUGGGGCUGAAGUAGGUCCCAAGGGUAUGGCUGUUCGCCAUUUAAAGUGGUACGCGAGCUGGGUUUAGAACGUCGUGAGACAGUUCGGUCCCUAUCUGCCGUGGGCGCUGGAGAACUGAGGGGGGCUGCUCCUAGUACGAGAGGACCGGAGUGGACGCAUCACUGGUGUUCGGGUUGUCAUGCCAAUGGCACUGCCCGGUAGCUAAAUGCGGAAGAGAUAAGUGCUGAAAGCAUCUAAGCACGAAACUUGCCCCGAGAUGAGUUCUCCCUGACUCCUUGAGAGUCCUGAAGGAACGUUGAAGACGACGACGUUGAUAGGCCGGGUGUGUAAGCGCAGCGAUGCGUUGAGCUAACCGGUACUAAUGAACCGUGAGGCUUAACCUUACAACGCCGAAGGUGUUU
rnacentral:rRNA from 1 species